UACAGAGGUCCCAAGCGUUGUUCGGAUUCAUUGGCGUAAAGGGUGCGUAGGCGGCGCGGUAAGUCGGGUGUGAAAUCUCGGGGCUUAACUCCGAAACUGCAUUCGAUACUGCCGUGCUUGAGGACUGGAGAGGAGACUGGAAUUUACGGUGUAGCGGUGAAAUGCGUAGAUAUCGUAAGGAAGACCAGUGGCGAAGGCGGGUCUCUGGGCCGAUACUGACGCUGGGGAGCGAAAGCGUGGGAGCGAACGAGG
rnacentral:rRNA from 1 species